GAUGAACGCUGGCGGCGUGCCUAAUACAUGCAAGUCGAGCGGACAGAUCAGGAGCUUGCUCCUUUCACGUUAGCGGAGGGGGGGUGAGUAACAUGUGGGUAACCUACCUAUAAGACGGGUAAAACCACGGGAAACCGGCGCUUAUGCAGGAUAACAUGCUGAACCGCAUGGGUGUACAGAGAGAGGCGGCUUUGCUGUCUCUUAUAGCGGCACCCGCGCCGUAUUAGCUGGUUGGUGGGGUCAAGGCGCAUCACGGCAACGAUACGUAGCCGACCGGAGAGGGUGAUCGGCCACACUGGAACUGAGACACGGUCCAGACUCCUACGGGAGGCAGCAGUAGGGAAUCUUCCGCAAUGGGCGGAAGCCUGACGGAGCAACGCCGCGUGAGUUAUGAAGGCCUUCGGAUCGUAAAGCUGUGUUAUUGGGGAAGAACAAAUGCGGAAGUAACUGUGCGCGGCUUGACGGUACCUAAUCAGAAAGCCACGGCUAACUACGUG
rnacentral:rRNA from 1 species